AACCAGACUCCUACGGGAGGCAGCAGUGGGGAAUAUUGCACAAUGGGGGGAACCCUGAUGCAGCGACGCCGCGUGGGUGAAGGAGCACCUCGGUGCGUAAAGCCCUAUCGGCAGGGAAGAAAAGCGAACAGGUUCGCCUGGACGGUACCUGACUAAGAAGCCCCGGCUAACUACGUGCCAGCAGCCGCGGUAAUACGUAGGGGGCAAGCGUUAUCCGGAUUCACUGGGUGUAAAGGGAGCGUAGACGGCGACGCAAGUCUGGAGUGAAAGCCCAAGGCUCAACCAUGGGACUGCUUUUGAAACUGUCAAACUAGAGUACGGGAGAGGUAAGAGGAAUUCCUAGUGUAGCGGUGAAAUGCGUAGAUAUUAGGAGGAACACCAGUGGCGAAGGCGUCUUACUGGACCGAAACUGACGUUGAGGCUCGAAAGCGUGGGGAGCAAACAGGAUUAGAUACCCGAGUAC
rnacentral:rRNA from 1 species